rnacentral:rRNA from 1 species
AUUGAACGCUGGCGGCAUGCCUUACACAUGCAAGUCGAACGGCAGCACGGGUGCUUGCACCUGGUGGCGAGUGGCCAACGGGUGAGUAAUACAUCGGAACAUGUCCUGUAGUGGGGGAUAGCCCGGCGAAAGCCGGAUUAAUACCGCAUACGAUCUACGGAUGAAAGCGGGGGACCUUCGGGCCUCGCGCUAUAGGGUUGGCCGAUGGCUGAUUAGCUAGUUGGUGGGGUAAAGGCCUACCAAGGCGACGAUCAGUAGCUGGUCUGAGAGGACGACCAGCCACACUGGGACUGAGACACGGCCCAGACUCCUACGGGAGGCAGCAGUGGGGAAUUUUGGACAAUGGGCGAAAGCCUGAUCCAGCAAUGCCGCGUGUGUGAAGAAGGCCUUCGGGUUGUAAAGCACUUUUGUCCGGAAAGAAAUCCUUGGCCCUAAUACGGUCGGGGGAUGACGGUACCGGAAGAAUAAGCACCGGCUAACUACGUG